GCCUACGACACGUGGGCGGGGCGCGCCCUCUGCAGGAUCCUGCGGGAGGCCCGGACGGUGGAGGUGAGCCCUGGGGGCUCCCGCACAGCGUCGCUGUUCUGCGCAGUGUGGUUUAGAGUCUUAGGAUGCGUGAGAGACGCACGUCUAGGUUGAGGGAAGUGGGGGUAUAUGGUGCGUGCAAUAAACGUUUAUUGUGCGAGUGAAAGAAUGGGGCUGUUUGAACAGUUCCGAUGACUCCUGGCAACUCAGUAAUGAAACCUUGGCUGCCGCUUGAAGUUGUCGUCUUCGCGCCCCCUUCACUCACCAAUUCUGUGAUUGUUUCCAGACCUAGAACCAAUUGCAGAAUCAAGCUCUGGAGCAGACAUCUGGGGUUUUGUAAGUUCUCCUUGGCCCACCUGGGCUGUUUGGAGUGCUCAGACUCACUUCCCAGGAGGGCAUCCUAUGGUAAAUGCAUGUGGGUGUGGUGGUCAGGAGGUUUGACCCACUAGGAUUUGUGGCAUCUUGUGUUGAACCUCGGUGCUCUUUGGGAUAAAACACAUGGGCAACUAACUAACUCGAAUGACCAGAAAGAAAUCAAGAAUGGGAAGGCAAAUGUCAGUUGCUGCCUCAGAAAAUCUUGAUCCCUCACUCCAUUUAAAUCUGAGCCAGUUCUGAGACCCCAAAGCCCAUUGAUUGAAAGGGAGGGUUCCCUUGAGGACAGAUUCUAGAGUGCUACCAUAAAUAUACACAAGAAAUAUUUCCCCACUCCUUCCCUAAAGGUGCCUAGAGGCACUUAAAUAACUAAUUUGUUAUGGAAAAGGGAUUAUCCAGAACUCCGAAGGUUAGAUACAGGACUUGAGCUGACGCCAGGGCACCUGAAGCAUCCUGGUCUUCUGAUUAGAGUAGGGGCUUAUGAAAAUCUCAUGAAAAAUAAAAUUCUGCCCCAACUCCUUGUGGUAGUUUCCCUGGUCCUAAUGUGUGCUUGGAUGGUUAUACCUAACAGUAAGCAGAGCUCAUACGUUGAUUCCUGACUUGUAGAUAAGAACCAUGUGGCAGGAGGAGCAAAGUAGAAACUCCCCACCCUAGUGGUCCCCCCAGGGUUGUAAAUCAGAAGCAACACUGCCUUCCAGGUGAAUUUGUAUGAAUUGUGUCACCUUCCCAUUUCACACCUUCAUUUCACCUAGAUGGUCCCUGAAAAUCCAAAUAUAUUCAUGUAAAUGAAGGUGGACUACCAUAGACUUAGCCAAGUAGUGUUCCCAGUCUCAGCAGCCAUGCCUGGUGUGAUGUCUUUAUUGGAACCAAUUAAUGCACCUCUGUCAUUGAUAAUGAAGUUACUGAUAUACCGAACGUUAUUUUCAAUUCCCAAUAGUAAAGAGGAUCUAAAGCAGAUAACAUUUAUAUGGGAAGGACAGCCAUAUGCAUUAUGUGGCUCCAAGGCUGUUUUAACUCUCCUGCUUUCUGUUACAACAUAGUCUGUAAGGACCUUAUCAUCUGGACAUUCUACAAGUCAUAAAUGACGUCAUACUAGUUUGACAUGGUGAAGAAGGAAGUGACACUGAUGCUCAUAAACAUUUAUGCUCUAACAUUUAUGCUCAGACCAUAAAUGUUAGAGGAUAUAGCCUCCAAAGUUAUAGAAUCUGUUGUAUCUUAGUGGUACAAUGUUCUAGGGCAAGCUGGGGCAUUGCCUCUGAAGUAAGGAAUUAUUGUAUUAUGCAACCCAAUCAAGAAGAAAGAGGCAUAGCUUUAAUGAACUUCUCUACUUGGAGCCAGCAUUUACUAUGGAAUAUAGUAAUAUAUUCUCUCUCUAUAUAUAUAUAUAUAGCCCCAUUUUGGGGAUAGCUUGGUAAACUGCCAGUUUUGAGUGGGGCAUAGAGAAAAAGAAGUCUUUCCUGAAGAUCUAGAUUGGGGGAUGGGCUCCCCUGCCAUUUAGCAGAACCAGUGGGCUGGGUUGGGCUCAUCUGUGGAAGAAAAGGCCCUAAGUGGUACCUCUAGCAAGCCCCAGUAGGAGGUUUGUAGUACACCUGUUAAGAUCACUUGCCAGGUAAAAACAGCCCCUGGCAUGCUACCACACCCAAGUAGAGUCUGAACACCUGAUUGGGGCACCAAAUGACCUUGCAACUCAGUCUGCUUGUCCUGGGAUAGACAUUGUCGUAUCUACCAAGUAAUAAGAAUAAUUCAUUCAUUGUUCAAUGAAAAAGGUAUCCUUGGGAAUGGAGCCAACCUUUUCCAUGAGGGAGCAGUCAUCUACAGGACAAGGUGACUGUGGUCCCACACCUGCUACCUUGUUGCACCAAUGCCUGUCUAUCAACAGAAAAUACAAAUCGGGUCCGGUUCACAGUGGGUCAUCUUGAUGUAUUACGAGCUGAAAAUGAACUGCUGCUUGCUGUGUGGCAGUCCCAUUCAGGGUGAUGAUAAGGGGAAUCCUCUGUGAGCAGAACCUCAUGCAGUGCCGAGGCUAUCACUUGGUACAGAGUGAGUAGAUGGAGUUUAUGGAAGUUCAGGUGGAAUCCUGGGUGUGACAGUGUCGGUUGGUCAGGAAAGGGCCAGAGCAGAAGACUAGAGACUGGAGGUCUGGGGAAACAGCUGGACCCAGGGAGUGGUCACAGCAUGUGUGAAUCUUUGUGCCUCCUCAUGGCAGGGGAGUCACUGAACAAGACAGAGACACCAGCCUCUGUCUUCCUGUACUAUACAGUGAGCUAGCUCAUGGUUGGAGGUGCCAUGGUAACAGGAAUGCAGGUUUUGCCUACUAACUCGGGCUUGUUGUUAUCGAGUUAGAGCAUAAUGAUAUGUUGACUGACCUGUUAGCAGCUGAGAUCAAGCUGAGCUUCUGUUGUACUGCCAUUUAUAGACAAUAUCAGCUAGUCAUUCUAGCAGGUUGGUUACAGCCCACCCUUUCUAUCCCAUUCAUCUUUUUUUUUUUUUUUUGAACUGGGGAUUAAACUCGGGCACUAAGCACCAAGUCAUAUGUCCAGCCCCUAUUUUGUAUUUUAUUUAGAGACAGGGUCUUGCUGAGUUUCUUAGUGCUUUGCUUUUGCUGAGGCUGGCUAUGAACUUGUGAUCCUCCUGCCUCAGCUUCAUGAGCUGCUGGGAUUACAGGUGUGCAACACUGUUCCUGGCUGAUUUAUCUUCAUUGGAACUGAAAACUUCUCUGAGUGUGGAUUUACCUUCCCUAUCCACAGUGUCUCAGGCAACGUCACUAUCCAGGAGUUAGAGAAUGCUUAGUUUACCAGUGUGGGAUCAUGUAUAACAUUGCCUCAGGCCAAAAAACUCUUACAGUGAAAGGGAUGUGGCAAUAUGUGGAAUGCCAUGGAUCCACCGCUUCUCUGAGAUCCUGCAUUACCCACAAGAAGCUAGUCUAAUGAAAAGAUAGAAUGACCUCUUUUUUUAAUAUUUAUUUUUAAAUUUUAGGUGGACACAGUAUCUUUGUUUUACAUUUAUAUGGUGCUGAGGAUCAAACCCAGUGCCUUGUGCAUGCUAGGCAAACACUCUACCACCAGCCACAACCCCAGCCCUAGAAUGACCUCUAAAGGCUGAGCUAAGGUCUUGGCUUUGGGACAGUAUCCUGAGAAGUUGGGGUAUGUGCACUGAAUCAAAACCCCAUAUGUGAUGCUGAUCCACUAAGAGUCAGCAAGUGAGGAUUGGGGAGCAAAAACACAGGUCCACGAACCUAGAGGCUGGAAUUAACUAUUUCUCACCAUUGUCUAGCAACUCACAUGUAAAACAUUCUCUGUCUCCACAGCCUUAGGAUCCACUGGAGUUGGGCUGUUUCCAUGAGGGGAUCCCACUGAUGGGCAGGGAAGGAUGCUGGACCUGAAUCUGCAGACACAACUAUAUUAUUCUGAGCUCUUGCUGGUGGACUUGCAGGCAAAAGAGGAAGGAAUUCUUCAGUGGAAUUGCCUUUUUCUUUCCAGAAGUAACAGUGAGGAGUUCAACAACUACUAUCACAUUUUGGGACCACUACCAUAACUUGUGCCAAGAUCUCAUCUCAAAAAAAGAAAAAAGAAAAAAAAUUGUGGGGGAAUAGGAGAAUAAGAUUAGGGGACAAUCAGGCCAGGCAUAAUCAGGCCAGCCAAA